rnacentral:tRNA from 1 species
GCCUUGGUGGUGUAGUGGUCAGCACACUCGGCGCGUAACCGAGAGGUCCGUGGUUCGAGUCCUGACGAGGACA